ensembl:lncRNA
GUGGUCUCCAUGCAGGUUCUCUCUGGAGAUCCUAAUGGUCUAUAAAACAGAAUGACUUAUAGACGUGGCACCCACUUCAGUUGGCGAGCGAUUGUUUGAAACCUUGCUGAUCACGCAAAAUUUAAUUUUUCCACCUCCCUCCCCUAGUCGCUACUCAUUUCUUGUCUCUUCCAUUACAGUGCCCGUAUCUCAACUCACAAUGAGGGGAGCAAAGUGUCGCCUCUGAAACCGUUACAGUGCCUUUGCCUCGAAGGCCAGGGGGCUAAAGACAAAGUAGGCUUCGAUUACUUUCCGUGGAGGUGGCCCCAGUGGUGGUGGUGGGAGCUGGGCCUCUCCAGAGGGCCACAUGGAUGUGGGCAGCUGCCCCCAGGGGUGAGGGAGAGGGAGGGUCUUUUCUGCCUCCCUCAGUUGCCCUUUAGGCUGAGUGCAACUGCCGCAUUAAGCACCAAGGUGCCCACAGGCUCAUGAGGGCAGGGAGGAUGGGUGCCCAUAUGUGCUCUCAGUCCACACCAGGAAAUCAAGGGGGCUGACCCCUGCCAAAUUCUUAGCCAGGCUGGGUCACUGGAAAUAGCUGUUCACAAAGACAGAUCUGGAAGAGGCUCCUGCACUCCUACAUCUCCUGGCCCUGCUGACAUCACAGAGGCUGGGCACCUUCCCCUGGGGACCCCCAGGACUGGGCAGGGCAGGGGCAGAAGAGUAAGUUCAUGGAAUCAAGUUGAGCCUAAAGGACCGGAAAUUCAGGACAACUGUUUCCUCUGAUUUGGAACACAGAUCAGAGACACGAGGACACAGAAGUGGAUUCUGCUGGGCCCACAAAGGCCUCACUGCCCGGCUGACAGCCCCCAGUCCCGUGGCCCUGCCCCAGGAAUCCUCCUUCCACCCGUGGGCUUUCAGUCCUCUUCCUGCCCUCAUGGGCUCUUCCCCAGCAGCUGUGGUCUCCCAGAGGUGGUACCUGUGGGCCUCUGUCCGGGGCUUGCUGUCUUUAGGCCUCCUCUUCACAGAGAAGCUGGUGGCCUGGAGUCCAACCACAGCUGGUUGAGUGAUGCUGAG